rnacentral:rRNA from 1 species
AACGAACGCUGGCGGCAUGCCUAACACAUGCAAGUCGAACGAGAGCUUCGGGUGUGGUGGCGCACGGGUGCGUAACGUGUGGGAACGUGCCCUUAGGUUCGGAAUAACUCCCUGAAAGGGGUGCUAAUGUCGGGUAAUGUCUUCGGAUCAAAGAUUGAUCGAGCUUGGAUGGGCCCGCGUUGUAUUAGCUUGUUGGUAGGGGAAAAGCCUACGAAGGCGACGCUCGUUAGCUGGUUUGAGAGAAAGGGCAGCCACUCUGGGACUGAGACGCGGUCCAGACUCCUACGGGAGGGAGCAGAGCGUGAUACAGGAAAAUGGGCGAAGGGAUGAUCGAGCAAUGCCGCGUGAGUGAUGAAGGCCUUAGAGAUGUAAAGCUCUUUUACCCGGGAUGAUAAUGACAGUACCGGAAGAAUAAGCACCGGCUAACUCCGUG